CCCGCCCCGCCGCGCCCCUCCGGCCAGGGGCUCGGCCUCCCUCGGCCCUCUUGGCGGCCGGCCGCCCCUCCUUCUUGGGUCGCUCCGGCUACUGACUGUCUGAUAAAUGGGGGGCUCCACCAAAUCGCGCAGCACGAGCCGCGGGGUUCGCCCAAAGCGCAGCUUCCUGCAGCGGACAUGCCGGGCUCCCUGCAACCCGCGCGCCACGUCGGGACUCCCCGCCGCUCCGGGCAGCUUGGCCAACGGUCGGGAAUGAUGGGAGUUGGAGUCCUGCAACACCUGGAGGGCUCGUGCCAUAAUUGGUAGCCCCUUCCUUGGUGUUCUGCUUAGAAAUGCUGAACUCAUAUCUGAUGUGCAACCAACUUGGCCACUUGGGCUGCAAGACGGGCGGAGAAUUCCUGCUUAAAUAUAUGGUACAAACUGAGCUUGGGAGGAAAGAAAGAAAUGUGUGUGGAGCAACUGGCCGCCUGUAUCAAAGGAAACCUUUCUAGUCCUUGCUGGAGCCACUUUUGUCUCUGCCCAGCCCUGCGCACCGUGGGAAGUUUGCCCAGAUGGGAACAGAGCCCUUGGACUGAAAAAGCCUCCCCAUCCCCACCCCAAAAAUGAUUAAGGAAGGCAGUAAUGAGCAAUGGAUUCCUGCUGUCCAUCACACACGGUCGCCCCUUUCUCACGUCUCAUGGGUUGGCCCCAGACAAGCCUCCCAGGCCAGAGAGUCCCUGGUAGUCCGUGUUGCCUGUCCAGAAGCCCAGGUCCCUAAGGCAGAAGUGCCUGGGAAGAAACGGUUGGUGCUGAGCCUGAAAAGCUAGCUGCCCCCAUGCUAAGUGGGUGAACUGGCGGACUUUAGUGGAGAAGGAAACUUACUGUUGUGGCUCCCACUUGAUGGAGAACUCAAACUCAGAUCCGGGUUUCUACCCAAAUCAUUAAUGCUCAGAUGGAUGCAAGACAUGCGCAAGACGCAGCUCAAAGGCUGCACAAGGAAAAGCAUUGCUGCUCAUUUGACCAAAGCUGGUAGGUGUUGAUAGUUAGCAGACCGGGCAACAGGCAGCCUUAUCUUUCUAGCUUACAGGAUGGCAGCUUAUCUAUUAUAAGUAAUACACAGGUAUUUACUAUAAGUUUUGAGAAAGCCACGUUGAUUCAUGCAGUCUUCUAUAAAAGGAAUUUUAAAAAUCUUUUUGUACAAUUGUGCAAGAUCUGUAAUAAAAACAAAUGGUGACUGUGUAA